UACGGAGGGUGCAAGCGUUAUCCGGAUUCACUGGGUUUAAAGGGUGCGUAGGUGGGCAGGUAAGUCCGUGGUGAAAUCCCUGAGCUUAACUCGGGAACUGCCAUGGAUACUAUUUGUCUUGAAUAUUGUGGAGGUAAGCGGAAUAUGUCAUGUAGCGGUGAAAUGCUUAGAUAUGACAUAGAACACCAAUUGCGAAGGCAGCUCGCUACACUAUCAUUGACACUGAGGCACGAAAGCGUGGGGAUCAAACAGG
rnacentral:rRNA from 1 species